rnacentral:rRNA from 1 species
CCUACGGGGCGCAGCAGUGGGGAAUAUUGGACAAUGGGCGAAAGCCUGAUCCAGCCAUGCCGCGUGUGUGAAGAAGGCCUUCGGGUUGUAAAGCACUUUCAGUGGGGAAGAAAGCCUUGGGGCUAAUACCCUCGAGGAAGGACAUCACCCACAGAAGAAGCACCGGCUAACUCCGUGCCAGCAGCCGCGGUAAUACGGAGGGUGCGAGCGUUAAUCGGAAUUACUGGGCGUAAAGCGCGCGUAGGCGGUCUGAUAAGCCGGUUGUGAAAGCCCCGGGCUCAACCUGGGAACGGCAUCCGGAACUGUCAGGCUAGAGUGCAGGAGAGGAAGGUAGAAUUCCCGGUGUAGCGGUGAAAUGCGUAGAGAUCGGGAGGAAUACCAGUGGCGAAGGCGGCCUUCUGGACUGACACUGACGCUGAGGUGCGAAAGCGUGGGUAGCAAACAGGAUUAGAACCCGAGUAGUC